UAAUUUUGAAGAAAUUUGUUCGUAAGAAAUAAUAAGUAAUGUGUUAUGGAAGAUGUGACGACGAUCAGGGUGGUCCUCUCUCACGAUUCAAGAAACCUCGUUCUGGAACCGAUGUAUACAUGGUACACGCGUCGUCAACGGAGCCGUCGACGUCGUGGAUGCUGCCAGAAAGAAAGUCGACCUGAAAAUCAAACAAACAACCGACGCUGCGUUUCUGCACUUCCGUCGUCAUCGUUUGUUUAUUGUCACUAAGGGAUCGCUGUUCUAGAACAAGAAAAGAGAGGUGACAAAUGAGAAGUCUGGAUUGAAUUUCUCGAAUUAACGUCUUCGAGGGGGUAUUAGACCCACGUGAAUAACGUGGACCCUGAUGCUGAGAUCGUGAAUUAGAAAAAAAGGGCCUCACGGAUCGUCAUGGCAUGGAUGGGCCUCUGGAUUCCUCAGUGGGGGUUCCACGGACAUUCCUUUCGUUUCUCUUACCACUCCCGACGAUCCAUUGUCAUUUCUCCUCUUCACUGUCAAAAAUGAAAUUGGAGAAUACUGGGUCUGGUGAAUUCGUUCAGGAGAUUCUAAGGCACAGUCUAAGAGGUCAAAUCUAAACGAUCCUAGUUCUUGGAAGGAGAGAGCCAUCAGGACACGCGACACUUCCCGACUCAGAGGAAGCGUGCCCUUUUUUAUUUUUUCUUGUGCAUGGAACCCCAUGGUUACUACGAACCACUGAAAUCAUACUGAUGAUAGAUUCAUCGUUAUUAUUUCAGCAGAUUCUAUAUAUGUUAUCAACUAGUACAAUUUGUAAAAAUUGAAAAAAAUAUUAAUUUUUUAGAAUGCAGUUAUUGAUGAAUAGACAUAAAAUGAAUUUAAUAACUUAAAUAGAUAUUAUAAAAAGGCAUCGAAAUGUUAUAGAUAUUGACACGAUCCUUGAAAAAAAAGGAAGAUAUUUGCAUUCAUUUUUAUAUAU